rnacentral:rRNA from 1 species
GAGGAAUAUUGGUCAAUGGGCGAGAGCCUGAACCAGCCAAGUAGCGUGAAGGAUGACUGCCCUAUGGGUUGUAAACUUCUUUUAUAAAGGAAUAAAGUCGGGUAUGGAUACCCGUUUGCAUGUACUUUAUGAAUAAGGAUCGGCUAACUCCGUGCCAGCAGCCGCGGUAAUACGGAGGAUCUGAGCGUUAUCCGGAUUUAUUGGGUUUAAAGGGUGCUCAGGCGGGGGAUUAAGUCGGCGGUGAAAUUUUGCAGCUCAACUGUAAAAGUGCCUUCGAAACUGGUUUCCUUGAGUGCGGAUGAGGUAGGCGGAAUUUGUGGUGUAGCGGUGAAAUGCAUAGAUAUCACGAGGAACUCCGAUUGCGCAGGCAGCUUACCAAGCCGUAACUGACGCUCAAGCACGAAGGCGUGGGGAUCAAACA